rnacentral:rRNA from 1 species
UACGGGGGGGGCAAGCGUUGUUCGGAAUUACUGGGCGUAAAGGGUUUGUAGGUGGCCCGCUAAGUCACACGUGAAAUCCCUCAGCUUAACUGGGGAACUGCGUGUGAGACUGGCAGGCUCGAGGGCAGGAGAGGAACGCGGAAUUCCAGGUGUAGCGGUGAAAUGCGUAGAUAUCUGGAGGAGCACCGGUGGCGAAGGCGGCGUUCUGGACUGUCUCUGACACUGAAGAACGAAAGCCAGGGGAGCAAACGGG